rnacentral:misc_RNA from 1 species
AACGCACAUUGCGCCCGCCAGCAUCCUGGCGGGCAUGCCUGUUCGAGCGUCAUUUCGACCAUCAAGCCGGAGGCUUGUGUUGGGGACCUGCGGCUGGCCGCAGGCCCUGAAAACCAGUGGCGGGGCCCGCUGGCACUCCGAGCGCAGUAUUCACCUGCCUCGCUCAGGGCGUGCCGCGGGUUUGUUCCCAGCCGUCAAACCGCAAUAUUCGCAAGGUUGACCUCGGAUCAGGUAGGAGGACCCGCUGAACUUAA